rnacentral:rRNA from 1 species
AGUGAACGCUGGCGGUAGGCCUAACACAUGCAAGUCGAACGGCAGCACAGUAAGAGCUUGCUCUUACGGGUGGCGAGUGGCGGACGGGUGAGGAAUACAUCGGAAUCUACUUUUUCGUGGGGGAUAACGUAGGGAAACUUACGCUAAUACCGCAUACGACCUACGGGUGAAAGCAGGGGAUCUUCGGACCUUGCGCGAUUGAAUGAGCCGAUGUCGGAUUAGCUAGUUGGCGGGGUAAAGGCCACCAAGGCGACGAUCCGUAGCUGGUCUGAGAGGAUGAUCAGCCACACUGGAACUGAGACACGGUCCAGACUCCUACGGGAGGCAGCAGUGGGGAAUAUUGGACAAUGGGCGCAAGCCUGAUCCAGCCAUACCGCGUGGGUGAAGAAGGCCUUCGGGUUGUAAAGCCCUUUUGUUGGGAAAGAAAAGCAGCAGGUUAAUACCCCGCUGUUCUGACGGUACCCAAAGAAUAAGCACCGGCUAACUUCG